rnacentral:tRNA from 1 species
GCAGCGAUAGCUCAGCACCAGAGCGCUGGUCUUGUAAGCCGGAGGCCGGGGGCUAAAAUCCCCCUCGCUGCU